rnacentral:rRNA from 1 species
UACGUAGGGCGCAAGCGUUUGUCCGGAAUUAUUGGGCGUAAAGAGCUCGUAGGCGGUUUGUCGCGUCUGCUGUGAAAACCUAAGGCUCAACCUUGGGCUUGCAGUGGGUACGGGCAGACUAGAGUGCGGUAGGGGUGACUGGAAUUCCUGGUGUAGCGGUGGAAUGCGCAGAUAUCAGGAGGAACACCGAUGGCGAAGGCAGGUCACUGGGCCGCAACUGACGCUGGAGGAG